rnacentral:rRNA from 1 species
CGCCUGGUUGAUUAAAAACAUUGCUGCAUGGAUGAAUGUGCGGUAAGUACUGCCCGGUGCCCUUAGGGUAAACGGCGGCGUAAAGUUUUAAAGUAGCGAAAUACCUAGCCCUUUAAUUGGGGGCGUGCAUGAAUGUAUUUACGUGGGAGAAACUGUCUCUUUUGCGUAGUCUUAAAUUGAACUCCAAGUGAAGUUGCUUGGGUGCUCUCAAAAGACGAGAAGACCCCGGCAGUUUUACUUAAGGAAAAAGAGAUUUUUGUGAUAGAUUGGCUGGGGCAGCAGGAGAAUAAGAAAACCUUCUCUCCUUCAAAGUGCAGAUGAAGAACGACGGUUUAAGAGCUAGCAAGGCUAAUCAAGGGGGCGAGUUACGCCGGGGGUAACAGGACGGUCUUAAAGUGGAGCACAUAUCGGCUUUAGGGUACGUUACAUCGAUGUUGAAUCAGGGGUACGCUUGGGUUGCAGAAGCUCAGGUUAAAGGGUCUGUUCGACCUUUAGAGCCCUACGUGAUCUGAGUUCAAACCGG